CAGGUUCUUCCCACAGUUCUUACUCCGGUAACCAGGGAGGACCUUCCUUCUCUCCUGGUGGAUCUUAUGGACAGGGAGGAUCUUCUGUUUAUGAUGGUAGCAGUGAAUCCUAUGGUCAGG